AGAAGGUCUCCGACGUCCACGACAAUAGCCAUGGGGCCGGUAAGGAGGCACUCAGGAGCUCAAACGUGGAUGCACCGUGCUUUGGCCACCUACUCCAAAUUCUCUCCUCUGCAUACUGACAUCUCCUGUCUACUUCAACUUCGCCUACCUGUGGUGAACCUCUCAGGAUAUCUUGACUCAGCAUUGGAACCUCAUCCUGGUGCAAGAGUGAAGCAAAUCUCCAAAACUCUUCCAAAGGAUGAGCCUCCAAUACCCUGCAGGACCUGAAUGUGGGUCAGUGUAGGACACCAAGAGCCCCUCACAUCAGCAAGUCACUCACUUUCUCAGCAAAAAUGAGGAUCUCAGCUCCAGCUUCUUCUCUUAGAGUAAGAUCAAAACCAGGUAUUUGACUUGGGAUCUUCACUGCAACAAGUCCUCAGGAAAAAAUCUUCUUUUUGGUGCUUUGAUUUUCAAAAUGUUAUUGCACGCUGCAAGAACAGUCACACAAGACUGAUGUAUUAAGUAUUAGUAAUGUUUAGCUGUCUUGCUGUACAGAUUAAGGAUGGCCAUGUCACAGGAAUUACCAGGCAAUUCCCAGACCUGGAGGUCACUUUUGAGCCUUACUCUUACAAGGGCUUGAUUCAGUGCAGUAGACUACUACCAAAUGUGGCAACCCAAUGUUCAGCCUGGAUCCACAGUUUCAGGACUGACCAAACCCAGGGAAAAGGAUGCUGUUGGAGGACAAUAUGAUCAUGUCACCAAGGCUGGCAGACAGGCCGGGAGGACACCUUGCACAGGUUCAACACCUUUAUCCGGGAAGGUUUAAAUCAGCACAUCAUCUCAUACAUGGAAUUACAGAAUAUCCUGAUUUGGAAGGGACCCACAAGGAUCAUCGAGUCCAAGUCCUGGUCCUACACAGGAUAUCCCCAAGAAUCACACCAUCUAUCACCAUGUGCAGAUCAUGGAUUGAAAGGACUUUUGAAUCCCAGACAGGGUGCUUCCAGGGCUAAAGCCAGGUGCAGCCAGGCCUCUGCGGCGCUUUGCACUGCGCAGAAGUGAGAUCUCCUCCAGGGACGCUCAAUCCAAGGCAGACAAAGAAAACAUGAAGAAAAACAAGCACCUGGCAGA